rnacentral:rRNA from 1 species
AUUGAACGCUGGCGGCAGGCCUAACACAUGCAAGUCGAGCGAGCGGCGGACGGGUGAGUAAUGUCUGGGAAACUGCCUGAUGGAGGGGGAUAACUACUGGAAACGGUAGCUACUACCGCAUACCAUCAGAUGUGCCCAUAUGGGAUUAGCUGGUAGGUGGGGUAACGGCUCACCUAGGCGACGAUCCCUAGCUGGUCUGCGAGGAUGACCAGCCACAUGGGAACUGAGACACGGCCCAGACGCCUACGGGAGGAAGCAUUGGGGAAUAUUGCACAAUGGGGGCAAGCCGGAGGCAGCCAUGCCGCGUGUGUGAAGAAGGCCUUCGGGUUGUAAAGCACUUUCAGCGGGGAGGCGUUACCCGCAGAAGAAGCACCGGCUAACUCCGUGCCAGCAGCCGCGGUAAUUC